AGCGAACGCUGGCGGCAGGCUUAACACAUGCAAGUCGAGCGGGCAUCCUUGUGGUGUCCGCGGCAGACGGGUGAGUAACGCGUGGGAACGUGCCCUUCGGUUCGGAAUAACUCAGGGAAACUUGAGCUAAUACCGGAUACGCCCUUUUGGGGAAAGGUUUACUGCCGAAGGAUCGGCCCGCGUCUGAUUAGCUAGUUGGUGAGGUUAUGGCUCACCAAGGCGAUGAUCAGUAGCUGGUCUGAGAGGAUGAUCAGCCACACUGGGACUGAGACACGGCCCAGACUCCUACGGGAGGCAGCAGUGGGGAAUAUUGGACAAUGGGGGCAACCCUGAUCCAGCCAUGCCGCGUGAGUGAUGACGGCCUUAGGGUUGUAAAGCUCUUUUCUCCGGGACGAUAAUGACGGUACCGGAGGAAUAAGCCCCGGCUAACUUCGUG
rnacentral:rRNA from 1 species